rnacentral:rRNA from 2 species
UGCUGGAGGUAUCAGAAGUGCGAAUGCUGACAUAAGUAACGAUAAAGCGGGUGAAAAGCCCGCUCGCCGGAAGACCAAGGGUUCCUGUCCAACGUUAAUCGGGGCAGGGUGAGUCGACCCCUAAGGCGAGGCCGAAAGGCGUAGUCGAUGGGAAACAGGUUAAUAUUCCUGUACUUGGUGUUACUGCGAAGGGGGGACGGAGAAGGCUAUGUUAGCCGGGCGACGGUUGUCCCGGUUUAAGCAUGUAGGCGGAGGUUCCAGGUAAAUCCGGUACCUUUUAACGCUGAGGUGUGAUGACGAGGCACUACGGUGCUGAAGUAACAAAUGCCCUGCUUCCAGGAAAAGCCUCUAAGCAUCAGGUAACAUCAAAUCGUACCCCAAACCGACACAGGUGGUCAGGUAGAGAAUACCAAGGCGCUUGAGAGAACUCGGGUGAAGGAACUAGGCAAAAUGGUGCCGUAACUUCGGGAGAAGGCACGCUGAUAUGUAGGUGAAGCCCCUGCGGGUGGAGCUGAAAUCAGUCGAAGAUACCAGCUGGCUGCAACUGUUUAUUAAAAACACAGCACUGUGCAAACACGAAAGUGGACGUAUACGGUGUGACGCCUGCCCGGUGCCGGAAGGUUAAUUGAUGGGGUUAGCGGCAACGCGAAGCUCUUGAUCGAAGCCCCGGUAAACGGCGGCCGUAACUAUAACGGUCCUAAGGUAGCGAAAUUCCUUGUCGGGUAAGUUCCGACCUGCACGAAUGGCGUAAUGAUGGCCAGGCUGUCUCCACCCGAGACUCAGUGAAAUUGAACUCGCUGUGAAGAUGCAGUGUACCCGCGGCAAGACGGAAAGACCCCGUGAACCUUUACUAUAGCUUGACACUGAACACUGGUCCUUGAUGUGUAGGAUAGGUGGGAGGCUUUGAAGUGUGGACGCCAGUCUGCAUGGAGCCGUCCUUGAAAUACCACCCUUUAAUGGCUGGUGUUCUAACGUAGACCCGUAAUCCGGGUUGCGGACAGUGUCUGGUGGGUAGUUUGACUGGGGCGGUCUCCUCCCAAAGAGUAACGGAGGAGCACGAAGGUUAGCUAAUCCUGGUCGGACAUCAGGAGGUUAGUGCAAUGGCAUAAGCUAGCUUGACUGCGAGAGUGACGGCUCGAGCAGGUGCGAAAGCAGGUCAUAGUGAUCCGGUGGUUCUGAAUGGAAGGGCCAUCGCUCAACGGAUAAAAGGUACUCCGGGGAUAACAGGCUGAUACCGCCCAAGAGUUCAUAUCGACGGCGGUGUUUGGCACCUCGAUGUCGGCUCAUCACAUCCUGGGGCUGAAGUAGGUCCCAAGGGUAUGGCUGUUCGCCAUUUAAAGUGGUACGCGAGCUGGGUUUAGAACGUCGUGAGACAGUUCGGUCCCUAUCUGCCGUGGGCGCUGGAGAAUUGAGGGGGGCUGCUCCUAGUACGAGAGGACCGGAGUGGACGCAUCACUGGUGUUCGGGUUGUCAUGCCAAUGGCACUGCCCGGUAGCUAAAUGCGGAAAAGAUAAGUGCUGAAAGCAUCUAAGCACGAAACUUGCCCCGAGAUGAGUUCUCCCUGAGACUUUAAGUCUCCUGAAGGAACGUUGAAGACGACGACGUUGAUAGGUCGGGUGUGUAAGCGCAGCGAUGCGUUGAGCUAACCGAUACUAAUGAACCGUGAGGCUUAACCUUACAACGCCGAAG